UUCGGCUAGGAGACCCCCCCAGAGCGAAACCCCCGCCACGGCCUGAAGGCAAGCGAGAGACCUCGGAGCCGCUGCCACCGACUCAGCCCAGCCCAGCAGGGGCCCGCCCAGGGGCCACUCCCCAAGGGAGGCAGCCAGUCAUUCGCCCGCCCUUCCGGGCCCGCUCCGGAGGGGACGGUCUCCCGCCCGCCCUCACACAGCUACCUCCUCAGGCCAGGCCCUCAGGGCUUCGUCCACCUCUCACCUUUGACGACUCGAAAUGUGGGCCCAGGUUUUCUAUGGAAACUUUAUAGAGACGGACAUUCAUGGGGAACGGAGUAGUGGGGCAAGAACUGACUGUUCGGGACUUCCCUGGUGGCACAGUGGUUAAGAAUCUGCCUGCCAAUGCAGGGGACACGGGUUCAAGCCCUGGUCCAGGAAGAUCCCACGUGCUGUGGAGCAACUAAGCCUGUGCACCACAACUACUGAGCCUGAGCUCUAGAGCCCGCGUGCCGCAACUACUGAGCCCGAGAGCCACAACUACUGAAGCCCACGCACCUACAGCCUAUGCUCCGCAACAAGAAAAGCCACCUCAAUGAGAAGCCCGCGCACCACAACGAAGAGUAGCCCCCGCUCACCACAACUAGAGAAAGCCCGUGCGCAGCAACGAAGACCCAGUGCAGCCAAAAAUAAAUUAAUUAAUUUAAAAAAAAAAGAACUGACUGUUCAAUCAGUAAUUAUUAGAAGAAGAGUGUGUGUAUGACACCAGGAGAGGUACUAGAUCAUGAGCAGAGACCAGCAUACCCACUAAGAUCUAUAUAUCUUGAUGGCAUAGGAUUCAAGUAGCAUAGGGUGAGAAAUGCCUGCCCAUCCUCCUGCUCAAUAACUACAUGUGCUCAGAAUCUGUUCAUAAUAGAUGGUGAUAAUUAGAUAAGCAGUUGUUCAAAGGUCUCAAAGAGCACCUUUCUACCUCUUCAUUUCGUCAAUCUCAGUGAUCGUGAGAGCUGGGGUAAAAGAGAAGAGAAUUGCCCAAUGCAUAUUCUUUGCAAAGGGAACUCACAAAAUAUUUUUUAGAGGGAGGUGAAUUUGGGAGUGAGGCAGGGGUGAAAAUGGAUCUUUCUGGCAUGGAAGUGCAAUAAUUCCACAGGGGAAGGGGAGGGGCAGCCAUGGGAAGAGAGCAAGGAAAGGAUACAAGGUGCAUCACAAACUUGUAGAGGGAGGGCACCAAGAGUACCUAGAUCAGGAGUGAGUUUGUAAGAGGAGUUUGAAUCCCCAGAAAAUCUCCCUAAGGAGGGAAGGAGAAAGUGUGUAAUGUGUUCAAUGCCUCUUGGCAGGAAAGGGAUAGAAAAUAUACUAGUGGUAAUAAUAACAAGGAAAGUCACUCCAUAUUAGGACCCAUUGACUCCUACCUUGAAUAUAUACCCUUCAACUAUCCUUCAAUUCCUCUUUGGCUCCUCACUUUCACUCAGUCAAAAGCCAUACACAGAGCCCCAGGCCACUGGGGAUUGGUAUUUCUUGCUUCUCCAGGCUUCCCCACCCCAAUACAAAAGAGCAAGAGCAUAAAAAAGGGAUUAAAUAGACAAUUAAGUGACAAGGAAUUAAAUAGAACUAUCUUAUAGAUUUAUUAACGAAAAAUACUUUACAAAAACAGUAUGUUUGGCCCUAAAAUAGUUCAGCUGACUCUCAGGGUUUACAACGGCGACUGAGCGAGUGGCAGUAAUGGCUCUGCUGCUGAGGACAGGAGGAUAUGUUAGUGUGCCUGACUCCAUCUGUUCAGAAGAGCAAUUGUUGUGUUGGCAGCCUCGCAUUCUAGGCCAAAAGUUUGAGGGCAGAAGGACAAUCUGGGCAGGUGGGUUAGCCUGAGUGAUGUGGUCAAGACCAAGGCUACAGGGCUACGUGUCCCUCCAAGGAUGGGGGAUUGGGAAGACAGAAGGUCAGGUAAUAGGGACAGGUGGAUAAAACAAAGAAGUUGGUAAUAUAAUAGGGAACAGAAUACGAGGGCUCAGGUGGAGGUGGGGGCAUAGAGUAUUCAGGAAUAAAAUGGUGACCCUAAGAUCCUAAGGAAUGGCUAGUGUCCAGAGUAAUAUGGAUUCAUCUUUAAGGUGGGUCAAAUAAAGCCCUAAACAGCAGCUGCUUCCUUUUGCUAGGUGAAUGGAAAUUGGAAUUUCAAAUAUUCCCUCUCAAAGAGCCAGGUCUCUUUAGCGGUUCCUGGCACCCCUAGGAGAAGGUGCCAACUCUAUGUUGAGAUGAGACUAGCACAGCCCCAGCAGGGAUGCAGGGUACCAACUCUGCUGCAGUACAGUU